rnacentral:misc_RNA from 1 species
GAUGAAGAACGCAGCGAAAUGCGAUAAGUAAUGUGAAUUGCAGAAUUCAGUGAAUCAUCGAAUCUUUGAACGCAUCUUGCGCUCCUUGGUAUUCUGAGGAGCAUGCCUGUUUGAGUGUCAUUAAAUUCUCAACUACACUGACUUUGAAUUGGUGUGGCUUGGAUUUGGGGGGAAAAUUGUUGUGGGCUUUUUGUAUAGUCUGCUCCCCUGAAAUUGAUUAGCGGUACCUUUGUGGAACUGUCUACAGGUGUGAUAAUUAUCUACAUCUUAGACAUCUGCUGGAAUGCUGCUUUCUAAACCUUACUUGUAUUGACAAUCUUGACCUCAAAUCAAGUAAGACUACCCGCUGAACUUAAGCAUAUCAAUAAGCGGAGGA